rnacentral:rRNA from 1 species
AUAAGCGGAGGAAAAGAAACUAACAAGGAUUCCCCUAGUAACGGCGAGUGAAGCGGGAAAAGCUCAAAUUUGAAAUCUGGCAGCCUCAGGUUGUCCGAGUUGUAAUCUAUAGAAACGUUUUCCGCGCCGGCCCAUGUACAAGUCCCUUGGAAUAGGGCGUCAUAGAGGGUGAGAAUCCCGUCCUUGACACGGACCACCGGUGCUUUGUGAUACGUUUUCAACGAGUCGAGUUGUUUGGGAAUGCAGCUCAAAAUGGGUGGUAAAUUCCAUCUAAAGCUAAAUAUUGGCGAGAGACCGAUAGCGAACAAGUACCGUGAGGGAAAGAUGAAAAGCACUUUGGAAAGAGAGUUAAACAGUAUGUGAAAUUGUUGAAAGGGAAACGAUUGAAGUCAGUCGUGUCUAUUGGACUCAGCCGGUUCUGCCGGUGUACUUCCUUUAGAUGGGGUCAACAUCAGUUUUGAUCGCUGGAAAAGGGCGGGAGGAAUGUAGCACUCUCGGGUGAACUUAUAGCCUUCCGUCGUAUACAGUGGUUGGGACUGAGGAACGCAGCAUGCCUUUAUGGCCGGGGUUCGCCCACGUACAUGCUUAGGACGUUGACAUAAUGGCUUUAAACGACCCGUCUUGAAAC